UCCGCCAUUGGUUGAAGAUGCUAAUCAACACUCCUGCAUAAAGCUUUACAGCAUGUUUGGUUGAAGGUAAUAGCUAAACCAUUACAUGCCUAUUACUAACCUAUUCUUCAGGCCCACUUAAACUGGCGUUUGGUUGAACGUAAUACCCUAUUACGGGUAGAUUCCAUUCCGGGCUUAAACAGAGAUUUUUGGGGAUUUCUAUUCCGUGCCUUCUUCACCGUUUACCUAUUCGUUGCUUGAAGAAACCUAUUCUACCCCUACCAAAAUUUCACGUCAAAAACACUCUCAAUCAGCAGCCAUUUCACAUACCCUUCGACUCCGGCAUUCCUCCCCUUCAUCCAAGGUCAGUUUCAACUACAGGGUAGCAAAUUGACUUGGCACGAGCGCUUCUUGGUACUUUUCUUUUCCAAUUUCUCUUCUGCAGAGUUUUGUUUGCUUAUUAAUUUCUGGGCUCCAAAGAAAGGUACCAAGAAGCGCAGAUUAGGUCAUUCAAUCAGUCACAGAGGACAAAGAAUUGGCUUCAAAGAAGAACAGUCAUUCCCAUAAACCUAAGAAACUUUUGUUCCCAAAUGGCUCCAAAACUUUGAAGGCUUCUUCUUCAGAGGUUGGAGGUGGUCACGAUGAUGAUGGUGAUAGCCAUGAUGAUGUCGAGAAGUUGAGUAGUAGAGCAAUCAAUGCCUCUAUCGUUCUUGGAUUUGACACGUUUGUUGUAUCCAAGUUGCUUACAAUUGAUCAUGAUUAUUGGGAUGGACACUUUAUGAGGUACUCCAAUAUGUUCCAGAACAUAAUUGGAUUGCAUACGAACAAGUUCUUAAAGCCAAACUAGUGAUAGCCAAAAUGGCAAUAAGUGAGAUAGUCUAUUCAAUAGGAAAUUAGAUUGCACAAGUAGUUUCUCUCUCUUCUCCACCCUCUCUAUUAAUCCUUUAAACGUAAACAUAUAUUACAUUCAGCUCAUAUUGUAUAACCUGUGUGUAGUGUUAUGAAGGAAAGCC